AUCCAGCUGACGAGUCUCAAAUAGGACGAAACACAGAUCCUGGAU
rnacentral:hammerhead_ribozyme from 1 species